rnacentral:rRNA from 1 species
CUCGCGGGUCGAUGAAGAACGCAGUUAACUGCGCGUCAUGGUGUGAACUGCAGGACACAUUUGAACAUCGACAUUUCGAACGCACAUUGCGGUCCGUGGAGACACAUCCAGGACCACUCCUGUCUGAGGGCCGGCU